rnacentral:rRNA from 1 species
UGAGGAAUAUUGGUCAAUGGACGAGAGUCUGAACCAGCCAAGUAGCGUGAAGGAUGACUGCCCUAUGGGUUGUAAACUUCUUUUAUACGGGAAUAAAGUGAGGCACGUGUGCCUUUUUGUAUGUACCGUAUGAAUAAGGAUCGGCUAACUCCGUGCCAGCAGCCGCGGUAAUACGGAGGAUCCGAGCGUUAUCCGGAUUUAUUGGGUUUAAAGGGAGCGUAGGCGGACGCUUAAGUCAGUUGUGAAAGUUUGCGGCUCAACCGUAAAAUUGCAGUUGAUACUGGGUGUCUUGAGUACAGUAGAGGCAGGCGGAAUUCGUGGUGUAGCGGUGAAAUGCUUAGAUAUCACGAAGAACUCCGAUUGCGAAGGCAGCUUGCUGGACUGUAACUGACGCUGAUGCUCGAAAGUGUGGGUAUCAAACAGGAUUAGAUACCCUGGUAGUCCACACAGUAAACGAUGAAUACUCGCUGUUUGCGAUAUACAGUAAGCGGCCAAGCGAAAGCGUUAAGUAUUCCACCUGGGGAGUACGCCGGCAACGGUGAAACUCAAAGGAAUUGACGGGGGCCCGCACAAGCGGAGGAACAUGUGGUUUAAUUCGAUGAUACGCGAGGAACCUUACCCGGGCUUGAAUUGCAACUGAAUGAUGUGGAGACAUGUCAGCCGCAAGGCAGUUGUGAAGGUGCUGCAUGGUUGUCGUCAGCUCGUGCCGUGAGGUGUCGGCUUAAGUGCCAUAACGAGCGCAACCCUUAUCGAUAGUUACCAUCAGGUUAUGCUGGGGACUCUGUCGAGACUGCCGUCGUAAGAUGUGAGGAAGGUGGGGAUGACGUCAAAUCAGCACGGCCCUUACGUCCGGGGCUACACACGUGUUACAAUGGGGGGUACAGCAGGCAGCUACACGGCGACGUGAUGCUAAUCCCGAAAGCCUCUCUCAGUUCGGAUUGGAGUCUGCAACCCGACUCCAUGAAGCUGGAUUCGCUAGUAAUCGCGCAUCAGCCACGGCGCGGUGAAUACGUUCCC